rnacentral:rRNA from 1 species
AAUGAACGCUGGCGGCAUGCCUAACACAUGCAAGUCGAACGAAGCCUUCGGGCUUAGUGGCGCACGGGUGCGUAACGCGUGGGAAUCUGCCCUUGGGUUCGGAAUAACAGUUAGAAAUGACUGCUAAUACCGAAUGAUGUCGUAAGACCAAAGAUUUAUCGCCCAGGGAUGAGCCCGCGUAGGAUUAGCUAGUUGGUGUGGUAAAGGCGCACCAAGGCGACGAUCCUUAGCUGGUCUGAGAGGAUGAUCAGCCACACUGGGACUGAGACACGGCCCAGACUCCUACGGGAGGCAGCAGUGGGGAAUAUUGGACAAUGGGCGAAAGCCUGAUCCAGCAAUGCCGCGUGCGUGAUGAAGGCCUUAGGGUUGUAAAGACUCUUUACCCGGGUAUGAUAAUGACAGUACCGGGAGAAUAAGCUCCGGCUAACUCCGUGCCAGCAGCCGCGGU